GAAGCUCUCCUGGGAGGUGAGGGCAGUGCCUGUCUGUCCUCCAUUCCUGGUCACACCUCCUCACAAGUCUCCUUCCCCUCAUACCUUGUUUUUUUUCCCCUUUGUUUAGAUUACUCUUUCCACUGCAAUCUCUGAUGCUGCUCCUCCUGCCACCCAGCUUAUUCCUGCACCUCUUUCAGAUCACUGCAUCUUCUAGCUCCAGAGUCGAUGUUUGCUCUCUACAUUAUUCCUCCCGGCACUUGGAGGCAACCUUACUUCAGUGGAUGGAAAUAAACAUAAUAUAGAGUCUUCCUGGCUUCAGUGUCUGCCAAAAUCAGAAAACAACAAGCUGAUUGUGACAUCAAAUUCCAGAGGAAGCCAACAAGUAACUUGUUUGUGUUGGGCUGCCACAGGCCCGUGAUGAUUAACUGCCGUGCCCCCCAUUCUCUCCAGGCCUCUGGAUGUGGUGCUUCCUUACCUGUAAACAGAAUCAGGAUGCAUCCUGAAGGGCAGCCAAGUGUCUGGCCUGGGGCUCUGUUCUUCAAAGUCUCAGGAAGAGAUGUUGAUAAUGACUGAGCAGAAAUAGAAGGAACCUGCAAAGCUUCCUGGAUUGUUUCUUCAGUGGCUUAUGCUCAUUGCAGGAGAGAGCUUGAAGGAAAUACCACAGAAGCUUAAAUAAAAUUGAGGAGUUACAGGAGUUUUCCCCUCUAAACUGAAAGAGAAGACUGCCUUUGCUAGAGGCAGUCUGCAAGACCCUGGUCCUUCUUCAUGGCAGUAUUACAGAGAUGACCUCCAGUUUUCUCUAUGGGGUGAGUCAAUGGCCACUGGGCAGAACAUUCCUUUGUGCUGAGAGUGCAAGGAACAGCAAGAACCCUGGACCUGAAGGGGCUUGUCAACAGGGACAAUAGAACAGGGUAGCCAUGAGAUGAAUAGCAGUGACUCAUCCCAACACUCUAUUGUCUUAAUUUUCAAUGCUUUGAAAUGGAUGAUUCUGGAAUAUUGACAUGACCCCAGUAGGAGAGGUUACAGACUCUCCUUGACUAUAUUCAGACUCCUAAGCCCUCUUCUUGACUCAACCCUGGUGUGUAGAAACUAUAAACUCUCAGCACAGUUGGUUUUGUCCACAGCCCCAAUACACAUGCACACACACACACACACGUGUACCUAACAUGAUGAGUCUAGCCUCCUUAAAUUCCUUCCAGAAGAUUCUCAAAGCUGCAAAAAGACUUUAUUGCCUAUUCUUGCCAACAUCUAAAGUUAAGGCCUCUGUCUCCCAGUCUGUGGAUGGUAGGAGCCCAAUUUCCACAGCUGCCAGAUAGCAAAACCAAAAGCCCUGGCCGCAUUGACAGUUCCUACCCAUUUCCUGCUUUUUGAGAGUUUCCACUUCCAUAAUUUCCCAAGUCCUUACUAUUCCUCAUCACUAUUGUCUCAUUCUCCCCUCAUUUCACCUAGUUACCUUUGCACAAAUCAAAAUUCAACUCAAUUCACCCUGGGUUGUCUGCCCUAUUGCAAUUGUUAUUGAUUCAAGUCAGUCCUUAUCACUUUAGUAUCUGACUUUGUUUUCUUAGAGGCAUCCCCAGGAACAAGUGAGGUGAAGUGGAUUAUCCCACCAACCCAGCCAAAUGAACAGAGUCAUAUUUAAAAUUAAGUUGAAUUUCAGAAAUUUGGUACAUUAUUUUUUUGGCAUUGCUGAUUCUGUGACUUGAGACUCACAACCUCUGAUGGAGAUAAUAAGAAAUUAUAUGCUAAUAUCCUUAUUUAGCUGGUGGGAAUAUACAUAAGAAAAUAUUAUGGUGAGGAGAAAAUAUAUUAUACAAAGCAAACAAAAGUCUAAAAUGACUUUUACAUACACUAUGCCUUUGGUCUCCAGGAGAACUAGUGACUAUAAAUUUCCCAUGUACAAUGGCAGAGAAGUUGAAGUUCCCUUAAAUCAGCAUGUGCACUAUACCUUUGCAGAAUACUUUUCAUCCUGUUUAGCGGGUUCUUCACCAUCAAUUGUGGCCUAUCAUGGAUUCUAGGAGAGAGGAGACAUUUUUCUGGAUUUCAGCAUUUUUCUUCAAAAGAUUGUAUUUGGUUAUGAUAAGACUGUUUAAUAAUUGUGUUGACUUCCACAGGGCUUUCAAAGCCAUAUGAACAAUAGUAAAGCACAUGUUUAAAUGUGGUUCCUAUCAAACCUUAAAUAAAAUCUUGUAAGAUUAGGAGGGCUGCUUUUAAAAAAUAUUCUCAGAUCCUUUUCUCUGAAGAAAGGGCCCUCAGAUUCAAGGGCAACAACAACAACAAAGGAUUUACACCUACCAAUGUAGUCUUGAUGAAAUCUCUGUUCAUUCUGCCCAAAUAGAGAGAACAUCUUAAAAGUUAGAGCACAUAUGAUUUAUCAAUUAUGAAUUUGGUUUUGAAAGGACCAUCUGAUAUUCUAUGCCAUUUCUUGAAAUCCCUCCUGUUUCAGAUACACACAUUUCAACUGUCCUAAAUAAUCCUUUUUUUUUUUUUUUAAGAAAUGGUAUCUUUUUUCAUUUUAUCCUUUCCUACUCAAUGGAAAGCUUGAAUGAUUCUGAGACACAAAAAUAAAAAGUAGGCAAGUUCAUUUGUCCCAUCUUUUACAAAGAUGAUUAGGAAAUAUUUAUUAGGUCCUUGUCAAGAUUCUUGAUGUUUCAAAUCCAAAAUCAACCCAGGACUCUUUUGCUUGAUCAAAACAAUCCUUAAAAAAAUACCUUUCAGAUUAAAAAAUAAUGACAUAUUAAUUUUAAAAUCCAAACUUGCAACUUCAAAAAAAAAAAAUCAGAGACUCCAACAAAGGGGAAUAGUAGCCCAAUACUUAGAUGUGUGACCCCUAAUUCACCACAGGCUGCAAGGACACUUCCCAGUGUUUCCCAGCCAGGACAUCAAUCCACUCCCUCAUUACCAUCACCUGCCAGGUGCCUGUUGUUCAGAUUAACUUGAUGUGGAAGUGCCUCGUCCCCAAACAGCUGAGUACUCAGGAACUACUUCCUGCCCUAACUGACUUCUUUCCUCUGAUAGUCCCACCAUGGUUGAUAACAAAGGGUCUUUAUAGCUGCCUUAAUAAAUGAGAUUCAUAUGAGGAGAGAGUUAUUUAGAAACUUUUUUUGAACUUUAGGUUGGCUUAGUUUUCCUGGAAUGUCUAAUUUCACUCAGGAAGUAGCUCCAACUCUUUCAAGAAUAUCAAGGCCAGAAAAAGCUCAUCUCAGUCAUUUCCAGGGUUAUGUGGGUCCCUCAAGCUCCUGACGGGAGUAAAGGAAUCCUCCUGUGUCAUUAGGACCCCUAGAGGCCUGUCCUGCUGUGAAAUGAUCACUUUUCCCUGACUGGCUACACAGGAAGCACUUGUAGAAUUUCCAGAAUCUUAAGGAAUUGGAGAACAGAGUGCUUCUCAACUCUAGCACAUCAGUGAGGUCACAUUUAGUUAGGCAAACUUAAGCAAGGUAGAUUGAAACAUUGCUUUAAAUUCCAUGUAGAAUGGGGUAGAGGGGACAGCGAGACAGAGUUAACAAAUGUGUUAACUCUCUGAGCCUCAGUUUCCCUAAAUCAAUAAAGCAAACUAUAAUAA